rnacentral:rRNA from 1 species
AUUGAACGCUGGCGGCAGGCCUAACACAUGCAAGUCGAACGAGUGGCGGACGGGUGAGUAGUGUCUGGGAAACUGCCCGGUGGAGGGGGAUAACUACUGGAAACGGUAGCUAAUACAGCAUACCUUCAGACGUGCGCAGUUGGGUUUAGGUUGUUGGUGGGGUAACGGCUCACCGAGGCGACGAUCCCUAGCUGGUCUGAGAGGAUCACCCGCCACACUGGAACUGAGACACGGUCCAGACUCCUACGGGAGGCAGCAGUGGGGAAUAUUGCACAAUGGGCGCAAGCCGGAUGCAGCCAUGCCGCGUGUAUGAAGAAGGCCUUCGGGUUGUAAAGUACUUUCAGCGAGGAGGCGUUACCCGCAGAAGAAGCACCGGCUAACUCCGUGCCAGCAGCCGCGGUAAUUC